rnacentral:rRNA from 1 species
GGGUACUUCCUGCCCAGUGACAUAAAGUUUAACGGCCGCGGUAUACUAACCGUGCAAAGGUAGCAUAAUCAUUUGCCCAUUAAUUGUGGGCUAGAAUGAAAGGACUUACGAAAUAUAAGCUGUCUCUUAAAGUUACCUAAAAAUUAAUCUCUAAUUGAAGAAAAUUAGAUACCUUAGAAGGACAAGAAGACCCUAUAGAGCUUUAUUAUAAUAGAGAAUAAAUCCCUAUAAAAAAUUCGGUUGGGGCGACCUGGGAAAUUAUUUAUCAUCCCCCUUUUUAUAGAUUUAUACAUCAAAUUUAUGACCCUAGACAAGAUCUAAAAACCAAGUUACCUUAGGGAUAACAGGCUAAUCUCACUAAAGAGUCCUUAUCUAUAGUGAGGAUUGGCACCUCGAUGUUGGCUUAGGGAAUCUAUGUGGCGCAAAAGUCUCAUAAAGAUGGUUUGUUCAACCAAUAACACCCUACGUGAUCUGAUUUCAGACCGGA